rnacentral:rRNA from 1 species
AGUGAACGCUGGCGGCGUGCCUAAUACAUGCAAGUCGAACGGAGUGGCGCACGGGGGAGUAAUGUAUAGCUAAUCUGCCCUACACUAGAGGCAAACAGGUGGAAAAGGCUGCUAAUACACGAUAGUGAAGGUUGAGGCUGUAUUGUAUGAGCUAGUUGGUGAGGUAAUGGCGCACCAAGGGUAUGACGCAUAACUGGCCGGAGAGGAUGAGCAGUCGCACUGUAACUGAGGCACGAGCCGGACUCCUUCGGCAAGGAGCAGUAGUGUAUAUUGCUCAAUCGGCGUAACCCUGGAGCAUCAUCGCCGCGUAGAGGAUGACACUUUUCGGAGCAUAAGCUCCUUUUGUUAUGGAAGCGGUACCUAACGAAUAAGCACCGGCUAACUCCGUGCCAGCAGCCGCGGUAAUAC